rnacentral:rRNA from 1 species
AGAUUGAACGCUGGCGGCAGGCCUAACACAUGCAAGUCGAGCGGUAGAGAGGUGCUUGCAUCUCUUGAGAGCGGCGGACGGGUGAGUAAUGCCUAGGAAUCUGCCUAGUGGUGGGGGAUAACGUUCGGAAACGGACGCUAAUACCGCAUACGUCCUACGGGAGAAAGCGGGGGACCUUCGGGCCUCGCGCCAUUAGAUGAGCCUAGGUCGGAUUAGCUAGUUGGUGAGGUAAUGGCUCACCAAGGCGACGAUCCGUAACUGGUCUGAGAGGAUGAUCAGUCACACUGGAACUGAGACACGGUCCAGACCU